AGCAAUGUAACACCACCAGCAGGAAACAGUGUAACACCACCAGCAGGAAGCAAUGUAACACCACCAGCAGGAAACAGUGUAACACCACCAGCAGGAAGCAAUGUAACACCACCAGCAGGAAACAGUGUAACACCACCAGCAGGAAGCAAUGUAACACCACCAGUAGGAAGCAAUGUCACAUCACCAGCAGGAAACAAUGUAACAUCACCAGAAGGAAGCAGUGCAACACCACCAGCAGGAAGCAACGUAACAAUACCAGUAACCAAUACAACAAUCUCACAAGGAGGCAAUGUAACACUACCAAUAACCAAUGUAACAAUCUCACAAGAAAGCAGUGUAACAACAUUAGCAACCAAUGUAACUACCCCACAAGGAAGCAAUGUAACAUCACUAGAAGCCAAUACAACAAUCUCACAGGGAAGCAAUUUUACAGAGCUAGUAUCCAAUGCGACAACAAUAACAGUGAAUGUAACAUCAUUAGCAGGAAAUGAUACAACUGUAGUCACAAACAUGACAUCUUCAAAUAAUUCUACAGGAUAACAUAUCAAUAGGAAAACACCAGCAACAAAUGUUUCAAAACCCUCAUCAGCAGUGACAUUAUCAUGCUUAAGUAACAUAAUUUAAGUGAUGUAACAACGUAACACUCCUUUAGCACAUUUAUAUCAAAUCUCAAUAGCAACAAAAUCUGCCGCAAUGAUGGUAACAGCACCUAAAAAACUGACAAGAAAUUCAACAUCCCUGAAUACUUUAAGUAUAUAUCUGGAAACAACACACUUUAUACUAUAAUACAAAGAAAACUUCUGCAGUGUCAUCAAGCAUAAUGUCCAUUUCCCAAAAUGUCAGAUUUAAUAAACACAAACUAUUUAAAAAUUUUAUGUAGUAAAAGUUUAUGCCCAUUUAUUUCUAAUCACUUUACUUAUAUCACAUUUUCAACUAUACUCUUCCAAGUCGAUAGUUUGUGUACAGCAUUUAAAGACUUAAUAAACUUGACCAAAUGAUAAUGAGGACUGACAUGUUUUAUAGAGGUCAAAGGCGAUGAUUUACUGAAUGCAUUGGAUAGCUCGAUUUCCCAUGUAGAGAAUUUCUUGAGUUCUUUUACUCAAAAGGCCCCCUUAAAGUCAUAAACAAAGUUGAUAGUAAUAAAAAGAACCCUGGAAAUUUAUAAAUCUGUAUUGGGGUUAUUGUUAUUCUUAGAGGAUAGGCUAAUAUUGCUAAAAAUAAAGCUGACGUGGAUAAAGAUACAAUAAUGGAAGAAAAAAGAGAAUUGUCAAGGUGAAUAACUUUAACAUUAGAAACAAAGGUAGGAAUGCAGCAGAACAAUGAAGGAAAUCAACACCACCAACUUAUAAGAUUCUAUUUUUUCCAGUACUAUAAAACAAUAGAGUAAACAAGCCAAUCAUUUAUGUAUCAACUCAUUAAAGCUCUGUAACACACACCCUUACCAUACAUAUGCAUUUCCUGCAACAAAACCAGAGAUAUCUUCAUCUAAUAUAGGCCAUACACAGGAGUCAGCAACAACAGGCCCUAGACAAUAGUCAGGUUCAACAAAUCCGGAAUUCUAACAACAUAUACUGAUUCCAUAUAUGUAUCAACAACUACAGGGUCAGGCCCAACACUAUUAAGUACACUGCUUAAACUUCAAGAGGUAAAGAACUCUUUAUUCAGAGUUUCAUUACAGUUGAGAGCUGAAAGAGAGAUAUUGUCGGGGUUGUUAUGAAUUUCAUUACAAAUAAAUUACAUGGAAGUAAAAGUGAGACAGAUCAGAAUGAUAAUAAGAAACUACAAGAACCACAAAUUUUUUCCACCCUAUCUGGAAAAUGAAGUGUUUUAGAAGAUCACAAAUGAUAUUAAAGAAGAGAGAUAAACGAAAUACCCCUAGAGCCCUAAAUGUCUUCACCAAUACAUGUACCAAGUCUAUCUAAAGUACCUUGUCACCAUCAUCAAAUAUACCUUGUCUAACUUUUACCUUACCAUUAGAUCCAGAUAAAUCAAAUGUUCCUCCAGCACAAAAUCCAUCCUGUUCAGCAUCUGUCCCAACAAAACAACAACGUGCACAGUGACAAAUACUGACAAUCAACUUAACCCAUAUACUGCAAAAUUCAUAUGGUACAACUUAUCUCUCAGUUCUGAAAAUUAAAUCUGCUGGUGCCAUCCCCCAUCUAUCAGUAUUACCCACUGUAACUCCUUCUUCAUCCUCAGUUCACCAUGCAACGCAGUUGUUCUCAUAUCAUCAAAUUUACUCAGUGUGAAUCCUCAUUUAACUCUCAGAUUCAUCCAGUGCAGUUUCUCCCAUAUCGUCAAAUAUACCUGUCUAAUUCCCCUAUUAUCUCCAAAUUCACUUAAAGUAAUUUUUCACCAUUAUUCAAAUUAAACGUCUGCAAUUCUUCCAAUAUCAUAAAAUUCAUCCUGUGCAAUUACUCUGUCAACUCUAAACUUUCCUAGAACAAUUCCUACCACAUACAAUUUUUGUCAAUGAAAUUCCUUCACUAUCAGUGUACCCAGUGCAGUUCCUUUCUUUCUUAAACCUUGAACUCACUCAGUAUGAUUCAUCUCGAAUUUUCAAAUCAGCUCAGUGCAAAUCCUCUGAUAGCAUCAGACUUACCCAGUGCAACUUUUCCCUCAUCCUCAAAUUCACCCACUGCAGUUCCUAUCACAGCACCGAUUUAGUCAAUGAAAAUUUCCUUAUCCUCAAAUUCACACAGAGUACUUCCUUCCAUAUCAUCAAAAUUACUAAGUGCAAUUCUUUGCUAAUCUUCAACUUCUCCCAAUGCAAUGCCUCCCACAUCAUCAAAUUUAUCCAGUGCAAGUCCUAUGUAAUCCUUAAAUUUACCCCGCGCAAUUCCUCUAUGUUAUAAAAUUACUAAGUGUAAAUACUCACUCAUUUUUUAGUUCACCCAGAGCAAUUCUGCCCAUAUCAUGAAAUUUAUCCAAAUCUUUUUAUCUCUUAUUCUCACAUUCACUCAGUGAAACUGCUCCCUCAACCUUAAAUUCAUCACCCAUUGCAAUUCGUCCUUUAUCAUCAAAUGUACCAAAUGCAAAUUUUUUCUAGUCCUCAAAUUCACCCAUUAUUUACCCAAUGCAAUUUCAACCAUAAUAACAAAUUUAUCCAAUACAUUUGAUUUCUGACCCUGAAAUUCACCCACAGCAAAAUCUCUCUAACCCUCAAAUUCUCCCUGUACAAUUUCUAUAACCCUCAAAUUCUCCCUGUACAAUUUGUAUAACCCUUAAAUUCACCCUGUACAAUUUUUCUAAUCCUCAAAUUCCCCCUGUACAAUUCCUCUAAUCCUCAAAAUCACCCUCUACAACUCCUCUAAUCCUCAAAUUACCUGGUACAAUUUCACUAAUCCUCCAAUUCAUUCUUUACAAUUUCUCUAAUCCUCAAAUUCACCCUGUACAAUUUAUCUAAUCCUCAAAUUCACCCCAUACAAUUUCUCUAAUCCUCAUAUUCACCCAACACAAUUCUAUCCAUAAAAUUUGCCCAAUGCAACUCCUCCCUCAACCCAAAUUCACCUCCCACUGGAGUAUGUACUACACUUCAAACGUACUUACUGCAAUUUCUCUAACCAUAAAUAUACCAAGUACAAUUUCUCCCAUAUCAUCAUAUCCAAACAGGGUAACCUGCAGGAACUCCUCCCUCCUCAUUAAAUUCUCUAGGUUUGACUAUUCCCUCAUCAUCAAAUUCCCUCCGUGCAAGUCAUCAUUCAUUGCAUUUAUCUAACCAUUAAGUUCAGCCAAGGAAAGUCGUCUCUCACUAACAAUUUAAGUGAGUUGGAGUCUUCUUUUAAUCUCAAAUUUAACACCUCCAAAUCAAAUAAUCAAAGCUGUAAUAAGUGUCCAAAUCUGGAAGUUUACAGUAUAUACUGCCAAUUUUGAAAAUCUUUGUCCAAGUUUGAUAUCUAAUCACACUAAUUGUUUUUCCUGUGUAUGAUAUCUCAUGGUGAUGGUUUUUCCUAGCACCAAAAUCUUGUGAGUAGAGCACUCUAGAAUAUUACAUUUAUAUCAUGAGUUCUUAUUAAACAGAGAGAUGGCGGAUGAAUAAGUGAUCUUGAAAACUCAUUCUGUUUUUGAACAGUGGGGUUCAUGGUCGAUGAAGUGUAAGGCCUGCCCUCGAAGUACAAAAGAGUACUUUAUUUGGUAUUGGUUUUAGCACUGGCUCACUUUCUCUGGAUGAUUAAUGUACGUCUAAACCUGUUGAGAUAUUUCUGUUGAAUGUAGUAAGCUUGAAUAAAGAUAAUUAUGCAUUUCUAA